UACGUAGGGAGCGAGCGUUGUCCGGAUUCAUUGGGCGUAAGGAGCUCGUAGGCGGCUUGAUUAGUCGGAUGUGAAACCUCCAGGCUCAACCUGGAGUCGCCAUCCGAUACUGUCAUGGCUAGAGUCCGGUAGGGGCCCACGGAAUUCCUGGUGUAGCGGUGAAAUGCGCAGAUAUCAGGAGGAACACCGGUGGCGAAGGCGGUGGGCUGGGCCGGCACUGACGCUGAGGAGCGAAAGCGUGGGGAGCGAACAGG
rnacentral:rRNA from 1 species